GGCUAUGGAACUUCGGAGCGAGGUAUAUAUAUGUAUAGCGGCCUUGUGGGCAUAGAGGUAUGGUUAAUAAUUAUGGGGACAUAGGUCUCAAGAGUAUUGCUACUCAUCAAUCUUCAAGCACAGUAUGUUUUCUCUUCUCAUUUUGCUAUUUAAUAGUCUUGGUUAUUUUUUUCUUCCUUAUUUAAAGGCCCUAUUAAAUGUAUAUA